rnacentral:rRNA from 1 species
UUGCUGGGGAAGGUAAAUCCGCCCAGGGUUAGCCGGUGCCUUAGUCGAGGCCGAAAGGCGUAGACGAUGGACAGCAGGUCAACAUUCCUGCGCCACUCGAGUGGACCGAUUGAGGGGACGGCGUCGCAAUGGUGAGCGGUACGAUUAGAAAUGUCCGCAGGCGCUCCUCCGGUGAGGGAUAGGCAAAUCCGCCCUCAUCAGCCGGGGGUGCGUCUCGACCGCGUUUAUGUUCGGGUAGUCAUCGGCGCGGCGUCCAAGAAAAGCCUCUAAGGGAUGAAGCUCGAGUGACCGUACUAAAACUGACACAGGUAGGCGAGACGAGAAGUCUAAGGCGCUCGGGAGAACGCUGGUUAAGGAACUCUGCAAAUUGGCCCCGUAAGUUCGCGAUAAGGGGUGCCUCCGGGGGUUCACGCUCCUGGAGGUCACAGUAAAUCGGCUUCAGCGACUGUUUAUCAAAAACACAGGACUCUGCCAACUCGCAAGAGGAUGUAUAGAGUCUGACGCCUGCCCGGUGUCGGUAGGUUAAGGAAGAGGGUUAGCCCCUCUGUUUCUUCGGAAACAUGGGCGAAGCUCGCGACCGAAGCCCCGAUAAACGGCGGCCGUAACUAUGACGGUCCUAAGGUAGCGAAGUUCCUUGUCGGGUAAGUUCCGACCUGCAUGAAUCGCGUAACGACUGGAGCACUGUCUCCACGAGCGACUCGGUGAAGUUGCAGUCGUGGUGAAGAUACCACGUUCCCGUAUUAAGACGGAAAGACCCCGUGAACCUUUACUGCAGGUUAGUACUGGGCUUAGGCGUUGCAUGCGUAGUAUAGGUGGGAGGCUGUGAGGCCGGGACUCUGGUCUCGGCGGAGCCGCAAUGUGAAAUACCACCCUUGUUGCGUUUGAGUUCUAACUCGUUGCCGUGAAUCCGGCGCGAGGACAAUGCUAAUUGGGCAGUUUGACUGGGGCGGUCUCCUCCAAAAAGGUAACGGAGGAGCCCAAAGGUACUCUCAGCCCGGUUGGCAAUCGGGCCUUAGAGCGUAAAGGUAUAAGAGUGCCUGACUGCGAGACCGAUAAGUCGAGCAGACACGAAAGUGGGGCUUAGUGAUCCGGCGGUGCUGUAUGGAAAGGCCGUCGCUCAACAGAUAAAAGGUACUCCGGGGAUAACAGGCUUAUCGCGCCCGAGCGUCCAUAGCGGCGGCGCGGUUUGGCCCCUCGAUGUCGGCUCAUCGCAUCCUGGGGCGGUAGCACGUCCCAAGGGUUUGACUGUUCGUCAAUUAAAGCGGUACGCGAGCUGGGUUCAAAACGUCGAG